CCUACGGGUGGCAGCAGUGAGGAAUAUUGGUCAAUGGGCGGAAGGCUGAACCAGCCAAGCCGCGUGAGGGAGGACGGCGCAGAGCGUUGCAGACCGCUUUUGUCGGGGGACAAAAGGCCGGACGGGUCGGGUUCUGAGGGUACCCGGCGAAAAAGCAUCGGCUAACUCCGUGCCAGCAGCCGCGGUAAUACGGAGGAUGCGAGCGUUAUCCGGAUUCAUUGGGUUUAAAGGGUGCGACGGUGGUCUUUUAAGGCGGCGGUGAAAUCCCGAGGCUCCACACCGGUGGCGCCGCCGAAAAUGGGGGCCUUGAGUGCGGAGGAGGCAUGCGGAAUGCGCGGUGUAGCGGUGAAAUGCAUAGAUAUCGCGCAGAACCCCGAUUGCGAAGGCAGCGUGCCGUACCGCAACUGACGCUGAGGCACGAAAGCGCGGGGAUCGAACAGGAUUAGAUACCCGAGUAGUC
rnacentral:rRNA from 1 species